rnacentral:lncRNA from 1 species
AAAAUGUAUUAUUACAAGCAGCUCCCUACCAAUUAUUCAGUGAAAGUCUUUCAUCCAUAUUAUCUUUCAUGCAUAGCAGCAUAAUUAUGUCAAACAAUAGUUGUAGGACUAAAUCAGGUCAGAAGCAUUUCAAAUUUUCCAUCCUCAUAUUUGGGUCCAACUUUGGCACAACUGUUAAUGUCAUGUCAUAGUGGCCAAAGCAAAUAGACCAGAUUAAUCUGAGGCUAAUUAAUCAGAUAAAUCCAGAAUAGACCUACACAUAUAACAAGCCCACUCAAGUAAGAUCUUUGUGACCCGGACCCAACUAAGUUGUAAAACCAUAUCUAAAAUGUGAACGUACAAAAAAUCAAGGAGUCAAGGUUGACAUGUACAGAAGAAGAAAAAGAUUGACAAAAGGUGGUCUCUCUUGAUGCACAUUUCUUUCGCCCCAUCUCAAAGCAUACUGUUCACCUAGAAAAACCAACUUUCUGAAUUACAUUAACUACAUUCUAGUUCCACAUCAAAUUCUGUCCCACCCUUUCUCAGUUGUUAUUCACCAUUUUCGUAUCCAAAAAAAAAAAUCAAGAAUCAAUUAUCAAGAAACAUUAUAUGAAAAUUCACCAAAUUAGUGUGGCAACAAAAUUUCAGAAAGUUAUACACCGACUAAUUGUGUGUGGGGGGGUGAGUGUGGUGUGGGGGGUGUGGUUGUGUAUAAAAAGUGGAGAAAAGGGACUACCAGACAAGAGAGCUGUACUGCUAAAUAGAGAAGAAAAUAAUUUCAAUAUAUUCAAUAUUUAUCAUCACCAACCCAUAAUUUAAUAAUCCCCCUCCCUCACCCUUUAUUGCUAAAGACCUAAUAAGAUUUAGUCAAAUAUGCAACAAGAAUUACGAAACAGGACUCCUAAAUUGAAGAAAUAAAAAGAGAAGAAAAUAAGAUAAGUUCAAACUUUGUAAAACUAGCAAAUUCAUUUCACCAGAAUAUCUAAUGUGAAAAGCCAACAAAAUCAAUCCAAAAUGCAAUCCUGGUGACUAAAACCGUUACUAACCCAAACUAGAGCUAUGGUAGAACUUUUGGGCACCUAUCCUUCUUAAAAUAGGACACAAACUAGAGCAAUAAGAACUUUUCUACAAUAUCCUUCCCCAAAAUUCAGUAUGAAAAUUGCAAGAAAAUAGGGGAAAAAACAAAUCUUCUACCAAAAGAUCUAAACAAAACUCCUAAGGCUCGAGUAACUGAAAAUAAAAACCAAAAAAUUCAAAACAACUAAAUCUGAACUUAAUCUAGACCUAAGCUACACUACAGAUUAACCAAGGAUCAAGUCUAAUCAUAGCCAUGCUCCUUUUCUUAUAACAUUGUCCCUCAAAAUACUAUACGACAUAUUCCAGAGUAUGUUUCAGCUAAUGACAAGGAAUAUCUUGUUUCAGUGUAUUCUAUGCACUCAAUAAAGGGUGGUAAAAAAAGUUUCCUUCUUGAUCAGCAAAUAUAAGCAUACACUAUUGAACCACUAAAUAACACUAACAUGAAUGCUUCUGCUUUCAUAUAAAGAAUAUGCCAGAUAAUCAAACAGAUACUAAAUGGUUU